GAUCUGGCUCAGGAUGAACGCUAGCUACAGGCUUAACACAUGCAAGUCGAGGGGCAGCAGGGCAAUAGCUGCUAUGCUGCUGGCGACGGCGCACGGGUGAGUAACGCGUAUCCAACCUACCCCGCGGUCAGGGACAGCCCGGCGAAAGUCGGAUUAAUACCUGAUGCAGUCAGAAGAGGGCAUCUGAUUUUGACGAAAGAUUUAUCGCCUCGGGAUGGGGGAUGCGUAGGAUUAGGCAGGCGGCGGGGUAACGGCCCACCGCGCCGACGAUCCUUAGGGGUUCUGAGAGGAAGGUCCCCCACACUGGUACUGAGACACGGACCAGACUCCUACGGGAGGCAGCAGUGAGGAAUAUUGGUCAAUGGGCGCGAGCCUGAACCAGCCAAGUAGCGUGCCAGGACGACGGCCCUAUGGGUUGUAGACUGCUUUUAUGCGGGGAUAAAGUGCGGCACGUGUGCCGUUUUGUAGGUACCGCAUGAAUAAGGACCGGCUAAUUCCGUGCCAGCCGCCGC
rnacentral:rRNA from 1 species